rnacentral:rRNA from 2 species
GUUGUAAGGUUAAGCAUAAAAGCGUAUAUGGUGAAUGCCUUGGCAGCCAGAGGCGAAGAAGGACGUGCUAAUCUGCGAAAAGUAUCGGUAAGUUGAUAUGACACGUUAUAGCCGAUAAUAUCCGAAUGGGGAAACCCGAUACCUAUUCAAAAUAGGUAUCAUUGUUAAUUGAAUUCAUAGAUUAACAAAGCGAACCGAGAGAAUUGAAACAUCUUAGUAUCUCGAGGAAAAGAAAUCAAACGAGAUUCCCUAAGUAGUGGCGAGCGAAAGGGGAACAGCCUAGAACAAAAUUACAUUUUAGUUUUUAGUGGAAAAAUUUGGAAAAGUUUACAAUAAAAGGUGAUAGUCCUGUACACGAAAAUUACUAAUUUUGUAAGUUCGAAAAGUAGGGCGGGACACGAGAAAUCCUGUCUGAAUAUGGGGGGACCAUCCUCUAAGGCUAAAUACUACUGACUGACCGAUAGUGAACUAGUACCGUGAGGGAAAGGCGAAAAGAACCCCGGUUAGGGGAGUGAAAUAGAACCUGAAACCGUAUACGUACAAGCAGUAGGAGCCUGUUUUUUAGGUGACUGCGUACCUUUUGUAUAAUGGGUCAGCGACUUGUAUUCUGUAGCAAGGUUAACCGAUUUUAAAGUAGGGGAGCCGUAGGGAAACCGAGUCUGAAAUGGGCGAUUUUUAGUUUCAGGAUACAGACCCGAAACCCGGUGAUCUAGCCACGGACAGGUUGAAGGUUAGGUAAAACUAACUGGAGGACCGAACCGACUGAUGUUGAAAAAUCAGCGGAUGAUCUAUGGUUAGGGGUGAAAGGCCAAUCAAACCGGGAGAUAGCUGGUUCUCCCCGAAAGCUAUUUAGGUAGCGCCUCGUGAAUUCAUCUUCGGGGGUAGAGCACUGUUUCGGUUAGGGAGCCAUCCUGGUUUACCAAUCCGAUGCAAACUCCGAAUACCGUAGAAUGUUAUCACGGGAGACACACAGCGGGUGCUAACGUUCGUUGUGGAGAGGGAAACAACCCAGACCGCCAGCUAAGGUCCCAAAGUCAUAGUUAAGUGGGAAACGAUGUGGGAAGGCAUAAACAGCCAGGAUGUUGGCUUAGAAGCAGCCAUCAUUUAAAGAAAGCGUAAUAGCUCACUGGUCGAGUCAGCCUGCGCGGAAGAUGUAACGGGGCUAAAUUAUGCACCGAAGCUGCGGCAAUGAAUCUUAAAAGUUUUAUUGGGUAGGGGAGCGUUCUGUAAGCCGAUGAAGAUUUACUGUAAAGUAUUUUGGAGGUAUCAGAAGUGCGAAUGCUGACAUGAGUAACGAUAAAAUAGGUAAAAAACCUAUUCGCCGAAAUACCAAGGUUUCCUGUCCAACGGUAAUCGAGGCAGGGUAAGCCGACCCCUAAGGCGAGGCCGAUAGGCGUAGUCGAUGGACAACAGGUUAAUAUUCCUGUGCUUAAUGUUAUUGUGAAGGGGGGACGAAGUAGGUUAAGUUAGCUAGGCGACGGUUGUCCUAGUUUAAGCGUGUAGGUAUAAAAAUUUGGCAAAUCCGGUUUUUUUUAAUCUGAGGCGUGAUGACGAACUGUUUUUAAAACAAUGAAGUAACUGAUACCAAACUUCCAAGAAAAGCCUCUAAACUAUAGAUAAUGUUAAAUCGUACCCCAAACCGACACAGGUGGUUAAGUAGAGCAUACUAAGGCGUUGAGAGAACUCGGGUGAAGGAACUAGGCAAAAUAGUGCCGUAACUUCGGGAAAAGGCACACUGGUAUUAGGUUAAUAGAAUUUACUUUUAUAAGCUGAAACCAGUCUAAGAUAACAGCUGGCUGCAACUGUUUAUUAAAAACACAGCACUGUGCAAACACGAAAGUGGAAGUAUACGGUGUGACGCCUGCCCGGUGCCGGAAGGUUAAUCGAAGGAGUCAAGGGAAACCUAAAGCUCUAGACUGAAGCCCCGGUAAACGGCGGCCGUAACUAUAACGGUCCUAAGGUAGCGAAAUUCCUUGUCGGGUAAGUUCCGACCUGCACGAAUGGCGUAAUGAUGGCCAGACUGUCUCCACCCGAGACUCAGUGAAAUUGAAAUUGCUGUGAAGAUGCAGUGUACCCGCGGCAAGACGGAAAGACCCCGUGAACCUUUACUAUAGCUUGACAUUGAACAUUGAUUUUUAAUGUGUAGGAUAGGUGGGAAACUAUGAACCUUUUACGCUAGUUUAAGGGGAGUUGACCUUGAAAUACCACCCUUUAAUAGUUAAUUUUCUAAUCUAGUACCGUUAUCCGGUAUGGAAACAGUGUCUGGUGGGUAGUUUGACUGGGGCGGUCUCCUCCCAAAGAGUAACGGAGGAGUACAAAGAUUGGCUAAUUACGGUUGGAAAUCGUAAGGUUAGUGCAAAGGCAUAAGCCAGUUUAACUGUGAGCGUGAUAACGCGAACAGAUGCGAAAGCAGGUCUUAGUGAUCCGGUGGUUUCUGUAUGGAAAGGCCAUCGCUCAACAAAUAAAAGGUACUCCGGGGAUAACAGGCUGAUACCGCCCAAGAGUUCAUAUCGACGGCGGUGUUUGGCACCUCGAUGUCGGCUCAUCACAUCCUGGGGCUGAAGCAGGUCCCAAGGGUAUGGCUGUUCGCCAUUUAAAGUGGUACGCGAGCUGGGUUUAGAACGUCGUGAGACAGUUCGGUCCCUAUCUGCCGUGGGCGUAGGAAGAUUGAGGAGAUCUACUUCUAGUACGAGAGGACCGAGGUGGACGCAUCACUGGUGUUCGGGUUGUCAUGCCAAUGGCAUUGCCCGGUAGCUAAAUGCGGAAAAGAUAAGCGCUGAAAGCAUAUAAGCACGAAACUUACUCCAAGAUUAGUCUUCCCUGAAACAUGUUAAUGUUUACUGAAGGGACGUUGAAGACUACGACGUUGAUAGGCUAGAUGUGUAAGUGUAGUAAUACGUUGAGCUAACUAGUACUAAUGACCCGAGAGGCUUAAUCUUACAACACCAGAG